rnacentral:rRNA from 1 species
UGGGGAAUAUUGCACAAUGGGCGAAAGCCUGAUGCAGCGACGCCGCGUGAGGGAUGACGGCCUUCGGGUUGUAAACCUCUUUCAGCAGGGAAGAAGCGAAAGUGACGGUACCUGCAGAAGAAGCACCGGCUAACUACGUGCCAGCAGCCGCGGUAAUACGUAGGGUGCGAGCGUUGUCCGGAAUUAUUGGGCGUAAAGAGCUUGUAGGCGGUUUGUCGCGUCUGCUGUGAAAUUUCGGGGCUCAACCCCGAACUUGCAGUGGGUACGGGCAGACUAGAGUGUGGUAGGGGAGACUGGAAUUCCUGGUGUAGCGGUGAAAUGCGCAGAUAUCAGGAGGAACACCGAUGGCGAAGGCAGGUCUCUGGGCCACUACUGACGCUGAGAAGCGAAAGCAUGGGGAGCGAACA